GACGAACGCUGGCGGCGUGCCUAAUACAUGCAAGUUGAGCGCUGAAGGUUGGUACUUGUACCAACUGGAUGAGCAGCGAACGGGUGAGUAACGCGUGGGGAAUCUGCCUUUGAGCGGGGGACAACAUUUGGAAACGAAUGCUAACACCGCAUAAAAACUUUAAACACAAGUUUUAAGUUUGAAAGAUGCAAUUACAUCACUCAAAGAUGAUCCCGCGUUGUAUUAGCUAGUUGGUGAGGUAAAGGCUCACCAAGGCGAUGAUACAUAGCCGACCUGAGAGGGUGAUCGGCCACAUUGGGACUGAGACACGGCCCAAACUCCUACGGGAGGCAGCAGUAGGGAAUCUUCGGCAAUGGACGAAAGUCUGACCGAGCAACGCCGCGUGAGUGAAGAAGGUUUUCGGAUCGUAAAACUCUGUUGGUAGAGAAGAACGUUGGUGAGAGUGGAAAGCUCAUCAAGUGACGGUAACUACCCAGAAAGGGACGGCUAACUACGUG
rnacentral:rRNA from 1 species